rnacentral:tRNA from 1 species
GCAGAUGUGGUGAAAUUGGUAGACACGCAGGAUUUAGGUUUCUGUAUUUAAUAGUGUGAGAGUUCGAGUCUCUCCAUCUGUA